CUCCGGUUGAUCCUGCCGGACCCGACUGCUAUCGGAUUGAGAUUUAGCCAUGCGAGUCGAACGUCCCCCUGUUGCGGGGGGCGUGGCGUACGGCUCAGUAACACGUAGUCAACCUGCCCUGGAGACAAGGACAACCCCGGGAAACUGGGAUUAAUCCUUGAUAGGUCAUCUCAUCUGGAAGGAGAGAUGGCUUAAAGGGGUACGCGGGCUUCUUCCGCGAAUUCGCUCCAGGAUGGGACUGCGUCCGAUCAGGCUGUUGGCGGGGUAAUGGCCCACCAAACCUGUAACCGGUACGGGCCUUGAGAGAGGUGGCCCGGAGAUGGACACUGAGAGAAGGGUCCAGGUCCUACGGGGCGCAGCAGGCGCGAAACCUUCGCAAUGCGCGAAAGCGUGACGAGGUUAAUCCGAGUGACUCCCGCUUAGGGGGUCUUUUGUCAGCUGUAAAUAGGCAGGCGAAUAAGGGGAGGGCAAGCCUGGUGUCAGCCGCCGCGGUAAUACCAGCUCCUCGAGUGGUCGGGGCGAUUAUUGGGCCUAAAGCAUCCGUAGCCGGUUCCGUAGGUCCUCUGUUAAAUCCAACCGCUUAACAGUUGACCUGCAGAGGAUACCGCGGGACUAGGAGGCGGGAGAGGCGGACGGUACUCCGCGUGUAGGGGUAAAAUCCUUUGAUCCGCGGAAGACCACCAGAUUGGCUUUGGGGGAGUUAAGUACAGAGAGCACAUUAAACAUCAUGAGCAUCCCUCGAUUACUGGGACACAGUUUCGGGGAUGGAUACAUCCACAUCAACAAGUUCUACUUCGUCUACACAAACACUUCGGAUGAACUUCUGAAGUCUACCAUCGAAGACGUGAGAACUCAAUUCGGAACGUCUCAAUUCUGCGAGAGGAAAUCGGUCGGGGGGACACCACAAGUCCAGUUCCCUGCCUUCGUGGGCAGGAGAUUGAACGAGCUGGGCGCCCCACGGG
rnacentral:rRNA from 1 species